UACAGAGACUGCAAGCGUUAUUCGGAUUCACUGGGCGUAAAGGGUGCGCAGGCGGCCGUGUGUGUGAGGCGUGAAAGCCCGGGGCUUAACCCCGGAAUUGCACCUCAAACUACAUGGCUAGAGCAUUGGAGAGGGUAGCGGAAUUCACGGUGUAGCAGUGAAAUGCGUAGAUAUCGUGAGGAACACCAGAGGCGAAGGCGGCUACCUGGACAAUUGCUGACGCUCAGGCACGAAAGCGUGGGGAGCAAACGGG
rnacentral:rRNA from 1 species